rnacentral:lncRNA from 1 species
AUUUAUCUAAUCGAUAUGCCCCAAUGACGCAUAUAGCUAAGUUGAGGUCCAGUCUCUGCCCCAACUAGAGAGGUGUCAAUACCGCUUCACUGGUAAGGACAGUUGUAAGUGACCCUUAUCUGGCAGGUACUCAAAUAAGAACGGUGGGAACCCUAAACUGACAGUUUAAGCCACCUCAUUAACCCUAAUCUGACAGGUUAAGAUAUCUCGACCUACGCUGGCU